rnacentral:rRNA from 1 species
UACGAAGGGGGCUAGCGUUGCUCGGAAUUACUGGGCGUAAAGGGCUCGUAGGCGGCCAACUAAGUCAUACGUGAAAUCCCUCGGCUUAACCGGGGAACUGCGCCUGAUACUGGAUGGCUUGAGUUCGGGAGAGGGAUGCGGAAUUCCAGGUGUAGCGGUGAAAUGCGUAGAUAUCUGGAGGAACACCGGUGGCGAAGGCGGCAUCCUGGACCGAUACUGACGCUGAGGAGCGAAAGCCAGGGGAGCAAACGGG